rnacentral:rRNA from 1 species
GUUGGCGGACGGGUGAGUAACGCGUGAGAAUCUGCCUUCAGGAUGGGGACAACAGUUGGAAACGACUGCUAAUACCCAAUAUGCCUACGGGUGAAACUUAUAUGGCCUGAAGAUGAGCUCGCGUCUGAUUAGCUAGUUGGUAGUGUAAGGGACUACCUAAGGCGACGAUCAGUAGCUGGUCUGAGAGGAUGAGCAGCCACACUGGGACUGAGACACGGCCCAGACUCCUACGGGAGGCAGCAGUGGGGAAUUUUCCGCAAUGGGCGAAAGCCUGACGGAGCAAUACCGCGUGAGGGAGGAAGGUUUUUGGAUCUGUAAACCUCUUUUCUCAGGGAAGAAUUUUGACGGUACCUGAGGAAUAAGCACCGGCUAACUCCGUGCCAGCAGCCGCGGUAAUACGGAGGGUGCAAGGCGUUAUCCGGAAUUAUUGGGCGUAAAGAGUCCGUAGGUGGUAC